UUUUCUAGUACCUGAUGUCCUCGGUACCUGCUCCAUCUGACAAGACAUUUUUGCUGUGAAAACUUAUGGAAGCCCAUCAUGGCUUUCCCAUCCCUUUUCUCCUUGAUGCCACGUGGACACUAGAGACUGGCACAUUAUCAAAAGGUGAUGCUGUUCUGCAAGGAAACAGUAUUGAGUGAAGUUACCUCUAAAUUAAGAGGAGAUGUUCUUGGACAGGUAGUAACAAAGGAAAAAGACAAAGGCAGG
rnacentral:lncRNA from 1 species